GCCAGUGUGUUGUAGUGGUUAGAACAUUAGACUAUCACUCUGGAGAAUAGGGUUUGAAUCCCUGUUCAGCCU